UUUACUUGCCCUCUCAUUGCCAUACCCUAUUCAUUUUUUGAAGGAAAUUAAUAUUUGGACCGCACUCAGAAAGCUGCCUACGUACCCCCAAUUUUUUUAAUUAAAAAAGGAGGAUCAGGUCCCCGUAGUUCUUAUUCGUUCAUACAAGUAAGAUGGUAGGUGUUACAUGUAAACUUGAGGUCCUUUUGCUUAAUUCCUCUUCAGUUGAACUUCUUUCUUGACAGUUGCUGAAGUCCUUUUCUCUUCCAAAUGUAUUCUCCAGCUCCUUAGCCAACUACUCACAUAUUCAAAAGGCCUGAAUUUCACACCAAAAACAAC
rnacentral:lncRNA from 1 species